rnacentral:rRNA from 1 species
UACGUAGGGUGCAAGCGUUAAUCGGAAUUACUGGGCGUAAAGCGUGCGCAGGCGGUUGUGCAAGACAGAUGUGAAAUCCCCGGGCUUAACCUGGGAACUGCACUUGUGACUGCACGGCUAGAGUGCGGCAGAGGGGGAUGGAAUUCCGCGUGUAGCAGUGAAAUGCGUAGAUAUGCGGAGGAACACCGAUGGCGAAGGCAAUCCCCUGGGCCUGCACUGACGCUCAUGCACGAAAGCGUGGGGAGCAAACAGG